GACGUAGGGCGCGAGCGUUGUCCGGAUUUAUUGGGCGUAAAGAGCUCGUAGGCGGCUUGUCACGUCGACUGUGAAAACCCGGGGCUCAACUCCGGGCCUGCAGUCGAUACGGGCUGGCUUGAGUGCGGUAGGGGAGACUGGAAUUCCUGGUGUAGCGGUGAAAUGCGUAGAUAUCUGGAGGAACACCGGUGGCGAAGGCGGCAUCCUGGACCAAUACUGACGCUGAGGAGCGAAAGCCAGGGGAGCAAAGCGGG
rnacentral:rRNA from 1 species